AAAUGCGGAAGAGAUAAGUGCUGAAAGCAUCUAAGCACGAAACUUGCCCCGAGAUGAGUUCUCCCUGACUCCUUGAGAGUCCUGAAGGAACGUUGAAGACGUGGACGUUGAUAGGCCGGGUGUGUAAGCGCAGCGAUGCGUUGAGCUAACCGGUACUAAUGAACCGUGAGGCUUAACCUUACAACGCCGAAGGUGUUU
rnacentral:rRNA from 1 species